rnacentral:rRNA from 1 species
CGGGAAUUUUGGGCAAUGGGCGAAAGCCUGACCCAGCAACGCCGCGUGAGGGAUGAAGUAUUUCGGUAUGUAAACCUCGAAAGAAUGGGAAGAAUAAAUGACGGUACCAUUUAUAAGCUCCGGCUAACUACGUGCCAGCAGCCGCGGUAAUACGUAGGGAGCAAGCGUUGUUCGGAUUUACUGGGCGUAAAGGGCGCGUAGGCGGCGCGGUAAGUCACUUGUGAAAUCUCUGAGCUUAACUCAGAACGGCCAAGUGAUACUGCUGUGCUAGAGUGCGGAAGAGGCAACCGGAAUUCUUGGUGUAGCGGUGAAAUGCGUAGAUAUCAAGAGGAACACCUGAGGCGAAGGCGGGUUGCUGGGCCGACACUGACGCUGAUGCGCGAAAGCCAGGGG